rnacentral:hammerhead_ribozyme from 1 species
GCACUGCUUAGGAGUCCCGCAAUAGGACGAAACGGCCGUCCAGUGC